rnacentral:rRNA from 1 species
AGAACCGCACGGUUCUUGGCUGAAAGAUGGCGUAAGCUAUCGCUUUUGGAUGGACCCGCGGCGUAUUAGCUAGUUGGUGAGGUAACGGCUCACCAAGGCAAUGAUACGUAGCCGAACUGAGAGGUUGAUCGGCCACAUUGGGACUGAGACACGGCCCAAACUCCUACGGGAGGCAGCAGUAGGGAAUCUUCCACAAUGGACGCAAGUCUGAUGGAGCAACGCCCCGUGAGUGAAGAAGGCUUUCGGGUCGUAAAACUCUGUUGUUGGAGAAGAAUGGUCGGCAGAGUAACUGUUGUCGGCGUGACGGUAUCCGACCAGAAAGCCACGGCUAACUACGUGCCAGCGGCCGCGGUAAUACGUAGGUGGCAAGCGUUAUCCGGAUUUAUUGGGCGUAAAGCGAGCGCAGGCGGUUUUUUAAGUCUGAUGUGAAAGCCCUCGGCUUAACCGAGGAAGUGCAUCGGAAACUGGGAACUUGAGUGCAAAGAGGACAGUGGAACUCCAUGUGUAGCGGUGAAAUGCUAUAUGUAUGGAAGAACACCUGUGGCGAAGCAGCUGUCUGGUCUGUAACUGACAC